ACUCCUACGGGAGGCAGCAGUGGGGAAUUUUGGACAAUGGGCGAAAGCCUGAUCCAGCAAUGCCGCGUGAGUGAAGAAGGCCUUCGGGUUGUAAAGCUCUUUUGUCAGGGAAGAAACGGUGAGAGCUAAUAUCUCUUGCUAAUGACGGUACCUGAAGAAUAAGCACCGGCUAACUACGUGCCAGCAGCCGCGGUAAUACGUAGGGUGCAAGCGUUAAUCGGAAUUACUGGGCGUAAAGCGUGCGCAGGCGGUUUUGUAAGUCUGAUGUGAAAUCCCCGGGCUCAACCUGGGAAUUGCAUUGGAGACUGCAAGGCUAGAAUCUGGCAGAGGGGGGUAGAAUUCCACGUGUAGCAGUGAAAUGCGUAGAUAUGUGGAGGAACACCGAUGGCGAAGGCAGCCCCCUGGGUCAAGAUUGACGCUCAUGCACGAAAGCGUGGGGAGCAAACAGGAUUAGAAACCCGUGUAGUCCCAUGA
rnacentral:rRNA from 1 species